rnacentral:rRNA from 1 species
CCCUUAGAUGUUCUGGGCAGCACGCGCGCUACAAUGGUCUUCGCAAACGGAUGCAUUCUCGAAGGAGAAUGCCAAUCUUGGAAUCUAUGCCUUGGUCGCGACAGUUGCUUGCAAUUUUUCGACUCGAACCAGGAAUUCCUUGUAAUCGUGAUUCAUCACAUCACGAUGAAUACGUCCCUGCCCUUUGUACACACCGCCCGUCGCUCCUACCGAUCGAAGAGUUAGGUGAAUUGUUUUGAUCGAUAAGAUUUGACUAUGGUCAACUCUCGUUGUGAAAUUCUGUGAAUCUGACUGUUUAGAGGAAGGAAAAGUCGUAACA